CCUACGGGAGGCAGCAGUGAGGAAUAUUGGUCAAUGGACGAGAGUCUGAACCAGCCAAGUAGCGUGAAGGAUGACUGCCCUAUGGGUUGUAAACUUCUUUUAUAUGGGAAUAAAACGUUCCACGUGUGGGAUUUUGUAUGUACCAUAUGAAUAAGGAUCGGCUAACUCCGUGCCAGCAGCCGCGGUAAUACGGAGGAUCCGCGCGUUAUCCGGAUUUAUUGGGUUUAAAGGGAGCGUAGGUGGAUUGUUAAGUCAGUUGUGAAAGUUUGCGGCUCAACCGUAAAAUUGCAGUUGAAACUGGCAGUCUUGAGUACAGUAGAGGUGGGCGGAAUUCGUGGUGUAGCGGUGAAAUGCUUAGAUAUCACGAAGAACUCCGAUUGCGAAGGCAGUUCACUGGACUGCAACUGACACUGAGGCUCGAAAGUGUGGGUAUCAAACAGGAUUAGAUACCCCUGUAGUC
rnacentral:rRNA from 1 species